GUUUGUGAUUGAAGGUAUGAAAGACCCCCAGAGUGGGGAGACCCUCACUCAAGUCUCGGGAUAACGCGACCCCCCCAAGAACUCACACAAGACC
rnacentral:pre_miRNA from 14 species